rnacentral:rRNA from 1 species
AACGAACGCUGGCGGCAGGCUUAACACAUGCAAGUCGAACGGAUCCUUCGGGAUUAGUGGCAGACGGGUGAGUAACGCGUGGGAACGUACCCUUUGCUACGGAAUAACUCAGGGAAACUUGAGCUAAUACCGUAUGUGCCCUACGGGGGAAAGAUUUAUCGGCAAAGGAUCGGCCCGCGUUGGAUUAGCUAGUUGGUGGGGUAAUGGCCUACCAAGGCGACGAUCCAUAGCUGGUCUGAGAGGAUGAUCAGCCACACUGGGACUGAGACACGGCCCAGACUCCUACGGGAGGCAGCAGUGGGGAAUAUUGGACAAGGGGCGCAAGCCUGAUCCAGCCAUGCCGCGUGAGUGAUGAAGGUCUUAGGAUUGUAAAGCUCUUUCACCGGUGAAGAUAAUGACGGUAGCCGGAGAAGAAGCCCCGGCUAACUUCGUG